GAUGAACGCUGGCGGCGUGCCUAAUACAUGCAAGUCGAGCGAACGGACGAGAAGCUUGCUUCUCUGAUGUUAGCGGCGGACGGGUGAGUAACACGUGGAUAACCUACCUAUAAGACUGGGAUAACUUCGGGAAACCGAAGCUAAUACCGGAUAAUAUUUUGAACCGCAUGGUUCAAAAGUGAAAGACGGUCUUGCUGUCACUUAUAGAUGGAUCCGCGCUGCAUUAGCUAGUUGGUAAGGUAACGGCUUACCAAGGCAACGAUGCAUAGCCGACCUGAGAGGGUGAUGGCCCACACGGGAGCUGAGACACGGUCCAGCCUCCUACGGGAGGCGACAGGAGGGACUUUUCCGCAAGGGGCAAAGUCCUGACGGAGCAGCGCCGGGGGAGUGAGGAUGUUUUUCGGAUCUAAAAACUUUUUUAUGAGGGAAAAACAUAUGUGAAAGAAACUGUGCACAUCUUGACGUUACCUAAUCAGAAGGCCCCGGCUAACUACGUC
rnacentral:rRNA from 1 species